AGUGAACGCUGGCGGCAGGCCUAACACAUGCAAGUCGAACGGCAACAGAGUAAGAGUUGGUGUUUAGGUGAGGCGAGUGGGAGGGGGGUGAGGUGUCCGUCGGAAUGUACGUUGGCGGGGGGGAAAACGUGGAGAAGCUUGCUCAAAUAGCACAUAGGACCUAGGGCUAAAAGGAGGGGAUCUGCGGACCUUGCCAUAGGGAGUGAGCCGAUGGGGGUAUAGCGUGGUGGCGGGGAAAACGCCCACCAGGGCGGCGAUCCCGAGCGUGUCUGAGAGGAUGAUCAGCCACACUGGAACUGGGACCCGGUCCCGACUCCCACGGGGGGCAGCCGGGGGGAAUAUUGCACAAUGGGCGCAAGCCUGAUCCAGCCAUACCGCGUGUAUGAAGAAGGCCUUCGGGUUGUAAAGCCCUUUUGUCGGGGAAGAAAGGCAGCAGGUUAAUACCCUGCUGCACUGACGUUACCCGCAGAAGAAGCACCGGCUAACUUCGUG
rnacentral:rRNA from 1 species